rnacentral:rRNA from 1 species
CNACCCUGGUGGCGAGUGGCGAACGGGUGAGUAACAUAUCGGAACGUGCCCUGGAGUGGGGGAUAACUAGUCGAAAGAUUAGCUAAUACCGCAUACGAUCUACGGAUGAAAGUGGGGGAUCGCAAGACCUCAUGCUCGUGGAGCGGCCGAUAUCUGAUUAGCUAGUUGGUGGGGUAAAGGCCUACCAAGGCAUCGAUCAGUAGCUGGUCUGAGAGGACGACCAGCCACACUGGGACUGAGACACGGCCCAGACUCCUACGGGAGGCAGCAGUGGGGAAUUUUGGACAAUGGGCGCAAGCCUGAUCCAGCAAUGCCGCGUGAGUGAAGAAGGCCUUCGGGUUGUAAAGCUCUUUUGUCAGGGAAGAAACGGUUCGGGUUAAUACCUUGGGCUAAUGACGGUACCUGAAGAAUAAGCACCGGCUAACUACGUGCCAGCAGCCGCGGUAAUACGUAGGGUGCAAGCGUUAAUCGGAAUUACUGGGCGUAAAGCGUGCGCAGGCGGUUGUGCAAGACAGAUGUGAAAUCCCCGGGCUCAACCUGGGAAUUGCAUUUGUGACUGUACGGCUAGAGUGUGUCAGAGGGGGGUAGAAUUCCACGUGUAGCAGUGAAAUGCGUAGAGAUGUGGAGGAAUACCGAUGGCGAAGGCAGCCCCCUGGGAUAACACUGACGCUCAUGCACGAAAGCGUGGGGAGCAAACAGGAUUAGAUACCCUGNNAGUCCACGCCCUAAACGAUGUCUACUAGUUGUCGGGUCUUUAUUGA